GGCCCCGUCUUCGUGCGGCUGACUACCGGCGCCGUGUCCCGUCGUUCCAACGGCUUAUGUUACCGUGUCCCUUGAAGUGCUUGCGUGCUGGGUACCCGAACUACGGGCAGUGGUGCUAUGUACAGGUUGCCUYGCGGUGGACGCCUCGCGGUGUGCUGCCGUGGCCAAAUGGCGGUUGCGGCGUUGCCUCAUUGUGCCAACACGUUAACGUGUUUGGUGCUAUCAAGGGAACCUCGCUCCCGUUGUUGGUCUUGGAUGUUUGCUAACAAUAAAGUGUCAUGGCCCUUUCGGUUGCCAUUACCCGACCCUAAAAUGCUCUCCAAAAUGAGAACAACCGGAACAGGUGUUGCCUCUACCUCUCCACAGUUAGUGGUAGGAUAUGCAACAUUUUGCGCCGAUCCUCAAAGUAGGAUGAGCUUUAGCCCGCUCAAUUGCGACAACCGGCCCGGCUGUUGCCUCUGCCUUGACACGCAAGUGGAUGGGUGGACAACUGCUGAUGCUGGACGUCAAUGAGGACGUGCUACCUGGUUGAUCCUGCCAGUAG
rnacentral:misc_RNA from 1 species